GGAUCGCUUUCAUCGAUUAGAUCAUUUAAUUUGAUAAGAGCAUCUUUAAUCGUCAAUCUGGCUUUGUUGAAUUGUAGCCAUUCUUUCAUACGAGCUAAUAAAUUUGGAUUCAAGUAUUAAAAGCUGAUUAUAUAUGAAAAACGAUUUGAUAUUAUUCAAGAUAAUAGAUCAAUGAUCUA